rnacentral:lncRNA from 1 species
GUUUCAUGCUAGCAUUUGAAUUGUUUACCGUGUUUGACACAUUCUCAUUUCAAUACUUACUAUAUCCAUGUAAAUUUGUCUCCUAUCUCUAUAAAUAUGAAGGAACUAUUUCAUUAUUUUUUCAAAUUGAUUAUUCUAUUAUCUUUUUUGUAUUAUUAGCUAAAAAUACUAUAAUAGUGGAAUUGGGAAACACAUUUGACAUUUUAAAAACAUUUAAUGAAAUUGAGUUAAAAGGACUAUAUUCAUUUAUGAUGUUUGGGACUAAAAUGUAUCAAAUUUUAAGAAAGGGUCGAAUUCCAAUUUUGC